AUUUAAGGCCGCGGACGUUCUGAUUCGGCCCUUUGCACUUUGGACUUUGACGCGAGCGGACCUCACCUGUGAACCCUCCUGUGAACCCAGACCUGUGAAGGAAACUCUGAGACUUUUGCACUGCUUGACUCUUUUUGUUGGAAACAAAACUUGUUGUCUUACAGAACUCCACCAGAUCCGGACUACGAGAGACCCGAGACCCCGAGGAAGGCCCUCCGACGACCGAGAGCCGAGGACGAGCCCCUGCUGAAGCGACCGGGCUGUGAUUUGGACUAAGUGACUGACUUCCUCUCCCGCGGACCUCCGAGAAGCCGGAGAAUGGAGGACCACCCGUACGCGCUGCGCGGAGCUGGCGGAGACUACGAUGGAGCUCCUGGCCUCCCUACGGCCAUCAGGUUAGUCCAGGAAGAUAACAUGGCGGACAUUAGGCUUCAUAAUGCGCGUGUCUCUUUGUUGCGUGUCUUUGCCCUUUUAACACCAGACGAGCUCCGGCGCCGACUCCGACACCCAGACAUCCGCCGCCGGUUCCGCCAGCUCCGCGCCAUCCGCCGACUCCGCCAGGGACUGGCCCGCAGGUAAGUUAUCAGGUUAGUGAUACACUUGUCCCUUUAAACUUUCACUACACUGUUUAAAGUCCUGUUAUUGGUUUGUAUGGGCACUUUAUUUUAUAUUCUACUGUCAAUGUAAUGUUACAAUUCUUGCACUUUGUUGAUUGUUGAUUGUUUAAUGUUGUCUAAUGUUGCACCACCCGCCAUGACACAUUCCUUGUAUGUGAAAAUAUAGUUUACAAUAGAUGGAUAGACAGACCGAUAGACAGAUAGACGGAUGGAUAGAGCGAUGAACAGAUACCCCAGCCCCCCAGAAACCAGAAGAGUCUCCCAGGAGCAGCAGGAAGAGGAGGAGCCCGACUGCCCGGCAGGACCGAUAAAGUUCCAGACAGCCUUCCCUCGCGCCUGGCGGGGGAAGGCUGGUUGGCCUGGUUCUACUUUUUUAUUUAGGUAUCGAUUGCUGUGACACGGAAGAGUCUACCGGGAUCUCCUUAACGACGACGAAGAAGAUGACGAGGGAGGACCACAUGAGAAGGAUGAAGGACCACCCAGCCCCCCGACACCGCCCGCCCCGCCCACACAGGAAGCAGCUGUUUAGAAGACGGACACUUCAGCCUGAACGAGACUUAAUAAUCCUUUCAUUUGUCACAUGGAAUCCUGUACGUUCAUGUUAACUGUACAGUAUUUAGAUUAUUUCCUGAUUUUAAUAAAUACAUGUACAGCAACAUCUAAA